AUAAUAAAUGGACCCAGAGGCAGUUUUUGGUAUUUCCACCA
rnacentral:tmRNA from 1 species